AUACGUAGGUGGCAAGCGUUGUCCGGAUUUAUUGGGCGUAAAGCGAGUGCAGGCGGCUUUUGAGUCUGAUGUGAAAGCCUUCGGCUUAACCGAAGAAGGGCAUCGGAAACUGGGAGACUUGAGUGCAGAAGAGGAGAGUGGAACUCCAUGUGUAGCGGUGAAAUGCGCAGAUAUAUGGAAGAACACCAGUGGCGAAGGCGGCUCUCUGGUCUGUAACUGACGCUGAGGCUCGAAAGCGUGGGUAGC
rnacentral:rRNA from 1 species